UACGUAGGGUGCAAGCGUUGUCCGGAAUUAUUGGGCGUAAAGGGCGCGUAGGCGGUUUCUUAAGUUUGGAGUGACAGUGGGUGGCUUAACUACCCAAGGCCUCUGAAAACUGGGGAACUUGAGGACCAGAGAGGGACAUAGAAUUCCGGGUGGAGUGGUGAAAUGCGUAGAUAUCCGGAGGAAUACCAAAGGCGAAGGGAGUGUCCUGGAGGGUGACUGACGCUGAGGCGCGAAAGCUAGGGGAGCGAACAGG
rnacentral:rRNA from 1 species